rnacentral:rRNA from 1 species
AGAGUUUGAUCCUGGCUCAGAACGAACGCUGGCGGCAGGCCUAACACAUGCAAGUCGAACGAUAAGCCACCUUCGGGUGGUGGACAGUGGCAGACGGGUGAGUAACGCGUGGGAACGUGCCUUUCGGUUCGGGAUAACCCAGGGAAACUUGGGCUAAUACCGGAUACGCCCUCCGGGGGAAAGAUUCAUUGCCGAAAGAUCGGCCCGCGUCGGAUUAGCUAGUUUGGUGGGGUAAAAGCCUACCAAGGCCGACGAUCCGUAGCUGGUCUGGAGAGGAUGACCAGCCCACACUGGGGACUGAAGACACGGCCCAGAACUCCUACGGGGAGGGCAGCAGUGGGGGAAUUAUUGGACCAAUGGGGCGCCAAGCCCUGAAUCCCGCCAUGGCCGGCGUGGGGUGAAAAAAGGGCCCUUAGGGGUUGGUAAACCCCUUUUCCACGGGGGAAAAUAAAUGAGAGGGACCCCGCAGAAAAAGCCCCCGGCUUAAUUCCGUGGCCGGCAGCCGCCGGUAAUACCGAAGGGGGCUAGCCUUGUUUCGGAAAUUCUGGGCGUAAAACGCGCGUAUGCGGACCUGCCAAUCGGGGGUGAAAAACCCAAGCUCAAACCUCGGAACUGCCUUUUAUAUCUGCGGGUCUUCUAGUCCGGGGGAGGGGAGUGGAAUUUCUCAGUGGUAGAGUUGAAAUUUCGUCUCAUAUUAUGAAGAACACACGUGGCGAAGAGGGCUCACUGGUCCGGUACUGACGCUGAAGACGCGCAAAAAGUGGGACCAACAGCAUUGAUCCCUUGUAGUCCACGCGUACUAUGGUGCUAGCCUUCGUCGCCAUCCCGGUCGUUGCCGCAGGCCCACCGCUUUAAGCCAGCCUGCUUGGGGAGUACGGUUCGCAAGGAUUUAAACUCCAAAGGAUUGACCGGGGCCCCGCCCCAAGGCGUUGAGCCAUGUGGUUUUAUUUCGAGGCCACCGCGAAGAACCCUUUACCCAGCCCCUUGACUUUCCCGAUUCGGGGCUCCCAGAGACGGAGCUUCUUCAAUUGGUCCGUUGACCAGGUGCUGCAUGGCUGUCGUUCAGCUCGUGUCGUGAGAUGUUGGGUUAAGUCCCCGCAACGAGCCGCAACCCCUUGCCCAUUAGUUGCCAUCAUUCAGUUGGGCACUCUAGUGGGACUGCCCGGUGAUAAGCCGGAGGAAGGUGGGGAUGACGUCAAGUCAUCAUGGCCCUUACGGGCUGGGCUACACACGUGCUACAAUGGCGGUGACAAUGGGCAGCCACUCCGCGAGGAGGCGCUAAUCCCAAAAAGCCGUCUCAGUUCGGAUUGUUCUCUGCAACUCGAGAGCAUGAAGUCGGAAUCGCUAGUAAUCGCGGAUCAGCAUGCCGCGGUGAAUACGUUCCCGGGCCUUGUACACACCGCCCGUCACACCAUGGGAGUUGGUUUUACCCGAAGCCGGUGCGCUAACCGCAAGGAGGCAGCCGUCCACGGUAGGGUCAGCGACUGGGGUGAAGUCGUAACAAGGUAACC